AGCUGUCAGUCUGCAAGGAGCUGUCAGCCUGCAUGGAGCAGUCAGAGCUGUCAGUCUGCAAGGAGCUGUCAGUCUGCAAGGAGCUGUCAGCCUGCAUGGAGCAGUCAGAGCUGUCAGUCUGCAAGGAGCUGCCAGUCUGCAGGGUGCUGUCAGCCUGCAUGGAGCAGUCAGAGCUGUCAGUCUGCAUGAAGCAGCCAGAGCUGCCAGUCUGCAAGGAGCUGUCAGCCUGCAUGGAGCAGUCAGAGCUGUCAGUCUGCAUAGAGCAGCUAGAUCCGCCAGUCAGCCAUGAUCUUCUAGAUCUGCCAGUCAACCAGAUUCUUCCAGAUCAGCCUGUCAACCAGAAUCUUCCAGAUCAGCCUGUCAACCAGAAUCUUCCAGAUCAGCCUGUCAACCAGAAUCUUACAGAUCUGCUAGUCAACCAGAAUCUUCCAGAUCUGCUAGUCAACCAGAAACUUCCAGAUCCGCCAGCCAGCCAGGAUCUACCGGAGCCUACUACCUACCUGAGCUUCAUCUCAGUACUGGGCUUCCUCUCAGUACUGGGCUUCCUCUCAGUACUGGGCUUCCCUUCUGUUCCGGGCUGCCCCUCAGUUCCGGGCUGCCCCUCAGUUCCGGGCUGCCCCUCAGUCCCGAGCUGCCCCUCAGUCCCGAGCUGCCUCAGUCCCGAGCUGCCCCUCAGUCCCGAGUUGCCCCUCAGUCCCGAGCUGCCCCUCAGUCCCGAGCUGCCCCUCAGUCCCGAGCUGCCCCUCAGUCCCGAGCUGCCCCUCAGUCCCGAGCUGUCCCUCAGUCCCGAGAUGCCCCUCAGUCACGAGCUGCUCCUCAGUUCUGUGGGGUUCUGGGUGAGGACUAUUAGGCCAUGGUCGGCGGCGAGGGUGGAUUAUCCCAGGACGCGAAGAGGAGGAACUAUGACAUUUAUGGAGUGGGGUCCACGCCCCGAGCCGGAGCCGCCACCAUGGACAGACGCCCACCCGGACCCUCCCUAUGGUUUUGAGGUGCGUCCGGGAGUCCGCA
rnacentral:lncRNA from 1 species